rnacentral:rRNA from 1 species
GUGGGGAAUCUUGCGCAAUGGGCGAAAGCCUGACGCAGCCAUGCCGCGUGAAUGAUGAAGGUCUUAGGAUUGUAAAAUUCUUUCACCGGGGACGAUAAUGACGGUACCCGGAGAAGAAGCCCCGGCUAACUUCGUGCCAGCAGCCGCGGUAAUACGAAGGGGGCUAGCGUUGCUCGGAAUUACUGGGCGUAAAGGGAGCGUAGGCGGAUAGUUUAGUCAGAGGUGAAAGCCCAGGGCUCAACCUUGGAAUUGCCUUUGAUACUGGCUAUCUUGAGUAUGGAAGAGGUAUGUGGAACUCCGAGUGUAGAGGUGAAAUUCGUAGAUAUUCGGAAGAACACCAGUGGCGAAGGCGACAUACUGGUCCAUUACUGACGCUGAGGCUCGAAAGCGUGGGGAGCAAACAGGAUUAGAAACCCGGGUAGUCC